rnacentral:misc_RNA from 1 species
UGCUUAGUGUAAAUGUACUGUAUAUAAAUUGAAGAUUUGGUAUUGUACAGUUUUCAGAAAACACAAAGUUAAAUUGAAUCCACUUUUUAACCCUUUUUGGUUCCUUGCCACCUAGGUAAUCUUGGGCAAAUUAUGUUAAGACCCUUGUGUAUGCAUUUAGGAUGGGUAUAUUAAUGGGUACUGCACCAGUGUGCCUGGCUAAUUGUCCUGUUAGGUUGCCUCAUUUUCUUUGGG